GACGAACGCUGGCGGCGUGCUUAACACAUGCAAGUCGAACGGAAAGGCCCUGCUUUUGUGGGGUGCUCGAGUGGCGAACGGGUGAGUAACACGUGAGUAACCUGCCCUUGACUUUGGGAUAACUUCAGGAAACUGGGGCUAAUACCGGAUAGGAGCUCCUGCUGCAUGGUGUGGGUUGGAAAGUUUCGGCGGUUGGGGAUGGACUCGCGGCUUAUCAGCUUGCUGGUGGGGUAGUGGCUUACCAAGGCUUUGACGGGUAGCCGGCCUGAGAGGGUGACCGGCAACAUUGGGCCUGAGAUACGGCCCAGAGUCCUACGGGAGGCAGCAGUGGGGAAUAUUGCACAAUGGGCGGAAGCCUGAUGCAGCAACGCCGCGUGCGGGAUGACGGCCUUCGGGUUGUAAACCGCUUUAGCCUGUGACGAAGCGUGAGUGACGGUAAUGGGUAAAGAAGCACCGGCUAACUACGUG
rnacentral:rRNA from 1 species